rnacentral:lncRNA from 1 species
GCCAGCUGAUCCAGGGCGGACUGCACAUGCGCGAAUCGCGCAGGUCAGGGCCGCCAGGCACCUGGAGUAGGGCAGUAUCAGGAUAGGCCUUACGGUAACAGGACGCUGCCGUUGGGAGUACCUAGUGUUUACCUAAUUCCAAGACUUAAACUACACAAAUGUGUAUGUUCUCCCUGAAGGCGGAGCUGGAGGCAUCUGGACUGACUUGACAGAGUUGGAUUGUGCAGGCUGGCAAGGGUCGCCUGCAGUAGAAACACGUGGGAGCUCGCUGGCGCAGAAGCCCUGGACCCAGCCGAGACAGGGAAAUGAACACCUCAAACAUCAUGGCCUUUAACCCAGAGACAUGGUUUAUUGGAAAGGACACCUGCAUCAAGAUUCCUUCCAGGAGGGUAUGGAGGAUCAUAAUAAUACCAGGGGAACCCACAUCAAAGUUUGUCCAAACAGACCCCAGUUGGAGAAGAAUCGUGAACACACCAGUCUAUGAGCCCGACUUGAACAGCAGGCUGGUCUCUGGCUUACCCUUACCUCGGGGGAGUGCACACGGACAGUAUGUACCCCAAAAGUCGGCUUUGGAUAGACCUUGCCCUCCAAGCUUGUGAAAUUUAGGCCUCCACUGCCAGCAUCACCCCUGGUGGAGAGCGAGCCCAUAGGUGUGAAAGGGUGACAGGUGGUCAUCAUGCAGACUUGCUGCCUGUGGGCUCCAGGCCUUCUGGGGGAAUCAGGACUCCCCUGGGUCUCCAUACUGCAGGCCACUUCCUAGUAAGGCAGUUGAAAAACCUCCAGCUCCGCUCCUGGGGGCAUAUUCCAUAAUGUAGGUAGGCCUUGUCCAUUAGGCCGAUACCCCGUACCCCCACUAGCUCUUCUCUGUGAUGCUCAUCAACUGCGGUGGCCCUGUUGCAAGUCUCCUUUUGGCCUCAACUGCCAGACCUGCUCACGCAGACUCUGUACCCUGCCACCCGGCCUUGGGUGGCAGGGGCACCCCAAUGACCUCAAUGUCCUCUGGGUAGAAGGAGCCCACCCCUGGGAAGUCUUUCUGAGGCCAUAACUUUAACCUGGCAACAGGGUCUGAAAGACCCCUCUCCCCUUGCUAAAGGCUUGUCUAAGUAACCUAUUAUUCCCAUAGCCGGAUGGCAACACAUAUCCUGCACAAACAGGAUGUCUGUGAUCACCCGGUCUGUCAAAAGAAAAGACAAAUGAGAAGUAGAAUGUAACUGGGACUUUCCAGAGUGCUGACCCAAGGAACCACCAGAACGCCCUGACCCCAACGCCCAAUCGUGCUUGAUUCAAAUUAAUCAAUCAGACUCCUGUAACCAUGCAUACCUGCUUCUGUAAGAUCGCUUCCCGCUACCGCUUCCCACCACCCCAACCCUUGCCUUAUAUAAUCUGUUCCCCAACCUAGCCCGGCGCGCUCAGUCCACAAAGGCUGAUGCGUCCGCAGGCGCCUGUGUAACCAAUAAACCUCUUGCAACUUGCAUCCAGUGGAGGCUUGGUGUCUGCUUCUUGGGUGCGGAUCGA